CCAGCUCCAAUAGCGUAUAUUAAAGUUGUUGCAGUUAAAAAGCUCGUAGUUGGAUUUGUGGCAGUGCUCGAGUGCCUUUUUUGGACACUCUGAGCACAGCCAUCCUUGGGAGGAAUUCGUGUGGCAUUAGGUUGUUGCAUGGGGGAUACUCAACUUUUACUGUGAAAAAAUCAGCGCGUUCAAAGCAAGCUUAUGCUCUUGAAUGUAUUAGCAUGGAAUAAUAAGAUAGGACUUUAGUACUAUUUUGUUGGUUUGCGUAUUAAGGUAAUGAUUAAUAGGGAUAGUUGGGGGUAUUCGUAUUCCAUUGUCAGAGGUGAAAUUCUUGGAUUUUUGGAAGACGAACUACUGCGAAAGCAUUUACCAAGGAUGUUUUCA
rnacentral:rRNA from 1 species